AUUUGAGUGAGUGGCGGACGGGUGAGUAACACGUGGGUAACCUGCCCUAAAGUGGGGGAUAACAUUUGGAAACAGAUGCUAAUACCGCAUAAAACCUAACACCGCAUGGUGUAGGGUUGAAAGAUGGUUUCGGCUAUCACUUUAGGAUGGACCCGCGGUGCAUUAGUUAGUUGGUGAGGUAAAGGCUCACCAAGACCGUGAUGCAUAGCCGACCUGAGAGGGUAAUCGGCCACACUGGGACUGAGACACGGCCCAGACUCCUACGGGAGGCAGCAGUAGGGAAUCUUCCACAAUGGACGAAAGUCUGAUGGAGCAACGCCGCGUGAGUGAAGAAGGUUUUCGGAUCGUAAAACUCUGUUGUUGGAGAAGAAUGUAUCUGAUAGUAACUGAUCAGGUAGUGACGGUAUCCAACCAGAAAGCCACGGCUAACUACGUGCCAGCAGCCGCGGUAAUACGUAGGUGGCAAGCGUUGUCCGGAUUUAUUGGGCGUAAAGCGAGCGCAGGCGGUUUCUUAAGUCUGAUGUGAAAGCCUUCGGCUCAACCGAAGAAGUGCAUCGGAAACUGGGAAACUUGAGUGCAGAAGAGGACAGUGGAACUCCAUGUGUAGCGGUGAAAUGCGUAGAUAUAUGGAAGAACACCAGUGGCGAAGGCGGCUGUCUGGUCUGUAACUGACGCUGAGGCUCGAAAGCAUGGGUAGCAAACAGGAUUAGAUACCCUGGUAGUCCAUGCCGUAAACGAUGAGUGCUAGGUGUUGGAGGGUUUCCGCCCUUCAGUGCCGCAGCUAACGCAUUAAGCACUCCGCCUGGGGAGUACGACCGCAAGGUUGAAACUCAAAGGAAUUGACGGGGGCCCGCACAAGCGGUGGAGCAUGUGGUUUAAUUCGAAGCAACGCGAAGAACCUUACCAGGUCUUGACAUCCUUUGACCACUCUAGAGAUAGAGCUUUCCCUUCGGGGACAAAGUGACAGGUGGUGCAUGGUUGUCGUCAGCUCGUGUCGUGAGAUGUUGGGUUAAGUCCCGCAACGAGCGCAACCCUUAUUACUAGUUGCCAGCAUUUAGUUGGGCACUCUAGUGAGACUGCCGGUGACAAACCGGAGGAAGGUGGGGACGACGUCAAAUCAUCAUGCCCCUUAUGACCUGGGCUACACACGUGCUACAAUGGAUGGUACAACGAGUUGCGAGACCGCGAGGUUUAGCUAAUCUCUUAAAACCAUUCUCAGUUCGGAUUGUAGGCUGCAACUCGCCUACAUGAAGCCGGAAUCGCUAGUAAUCACGGAUCAGCAUGCCGCGGUGAAUACGUUCCCGG
rnacentral:rRNA from 1 species